ACGGGAGGCAGCAGUGGGGAAUAUUGGGCAAUGGGCGCAAGCCUGACCCAGCAAUGCCGCGUGAAGGAAGAAGGCUUUCGGGUUGUAAACUUCUUUGACGAGGGACGAUAAUGACGGUACCUCGAAAACAAGCCACGGCUAACUACGUGCCAGCAGCCGCGGUAAUACGUAGGUGGCGAGCGUUGUCCGGAUUUACUGGGUGUAAAGGGCGCGUAGGCGGGAUUGCAAGUCAGAUGUGAAAUCCAUGGGCUCAACCCAUGAACUGCAUUUGAAACUGUAUUUCUUGAGUGCUGGAGAGGUAGACGGAAUUCCUUGUGUAGCGGUGAAAUGCGUAGAUAUAAGGAAGAACACCAGUGGCGAAGGCGGUCUACUGGACAGUAACUGACGCUGAGGCGCGAAAGCGUGGGGAGCAAACAGGAUUAGAUACCCUGGUA
rnacentral:rRNA from 1 species